rnacentral:tRNA from 1 species
GCGGACGUAGUCAAGUGGGCCAAGGCAGUGGAUUGUGAAUCCACCACACGCGGUUUUAAUUCCCGUUGUUCGCC